UGACCCAUGGUGUAACGGUAGCACAGCAGAUUUUGGUUCUGUUAGCCAAGGUUCGAAUCCUUGUGGGUCAACUA
rnacentral:tRNA from 1 species